rnacentral:rRNA from 1 species
UUAAGCGACUAAGCGUACACGGUGGAUGCCCUGGCAGUCAGAGGCGAUGAAGGACGUGCUAAUCUGCGAUAAGCGUCGGUAAGGUGAUAUGAACCGUUAUAACCGGCGAUUUCCGAAUGGGGAAACCCAGUGUGAUUCGUCACACUAUCAUUAACUGAAUCCAUAGGUUAAUGAGGCGAACCGGGGGAACUGAAACAUCUAAGUACCCCGAGGAAAAGAAAUCAACCGAGAUUCCCCCAGUAGCGGCGAGCGAACGGGGAGCAGCCCAGAGCCUGAAUCAGUAUGUGUGUUAGUGGAAGCGUCUGGAAAGGCGCGCGAUACAGGGUGACAGCCCCGUACACAAAAAUGCACAUGCUGUGAGCUCGAUGAGUAGGGCGGGACACGUGGUAUCCUGUCUGAAUAUGGGGGGACCAUCCUCCAAGGCUAAAUACUCCUGACUGACCGAUAGUGAACCAGUACCGUGAGGGAAAGGCGAAAAGAACCCCGGCGAGGGGAGUGAAAAAGAACCUGAAACCGUGUACGUACAAGCAGUGGGAGCACAGAGCAAUCUGUGUGACUGCGUACCUUUUGUAUAAUGGGUCAGCGACUUAUAUUCUGUAGCAAGGUUAACCGAAUAGGGGAGCCGAAGGGAAACCGAGUCUUAACUGGGCGUUAAGUUGCAGGGUAUAGACCCGAAACCCGGUGAUCUAGCCAUGGGCAGGUUGAAGGUUGGGUAACACUAACUGGAGGACCGAACCGACUAAUGUUGAAAAAUUAGCGGAUGACUUGUGGCUGGGGGUGAAAGGCCAAUCAAACCGGGAGAUAGCUGGUUCUCCCCGAAAGCUAUUUAGGUAGCGCCUCGUGAAUUCAUCUCCGGAGGUAGAGCACUGUUUCGGCAAGGGGGUCAUCCCGACUUACCAACCCGAUGCAAACUGCGAAUACCGGAGAAUGUUAUCACGGGAGACACACGGCGGGUGCUAACGUCCGUCGUGAAGAGGGAAACAACCCAGACCGCCAGCUAAGGUCCCAAAGUCAUGGUUAAGUGGGAAACGAUGUGGGAAGGCCCAGACAGCCAGGAUGUUGGCUUAGAAGCAGCCAUCAUUUAAAGAAAGCGUAAUAGCUCACUGGUCGAGUCGGCCUGCGCGGAAGAUGUAACGGGGCUAAACCAUGCACCGAAGCUGCGGCAGCGACGCUUAUGCGUUGUUGGGUAGGGGAGCGUUCUGUAAGCCUGCGAAGGUGUGCUGUGAGGCAUGCUGGAGGUAUCAGAAGUGCGAAUGCUGACAUAAGUAACGAUAAAGCGGGUGAAAAGCCCGCUCGCCGGAAGACCAAGGGUUCCUGUCCAACGUUAAUCGGGGCAGGGUGAGUCGACCCCUAAGGCGAGGCCGAAAGGCGUAGUCGAUGGGAAACAGGUUAAUAUUCCUGUACUUGGUGUUACUGCGAAGGGGGGACGGAGAAGGCUAUGUUGGCCGGGCGACGGUUGUCCCGGUUUAAGCGUGUAGGCUGGUUUUCCAGGCAAAUCCGGAAAAUCAAGGCUGAGGCGUGAUGACGAGGCACUACGGUGCUGAAGCAACAAAUGCCCUGCUUCCAGGAAAAGCCUCUAAGCAUCAGGUAACAUCAAAUCGUACCCCAAACCGACACAGGUGGUCAGGUAGAGAAUACCAAGGCGCUUGAGAGAACUCGGGUGAAGGAACUAGGCAAAAUGGUGCCGUAACUUCGGGAGAAGGCACGCUGAUAUGUAGGUGAAGUCCCUCGCGGAUGGAGCUGAAAUCAGUCGAAGAUACCAGCUGGCUGCAACUGUUUAUUAAAAACACAGCACUGUGCAAACACGAAAGUGGACGUAUACGGUGUGACGCCUGCCCGGUGCCGGAAGGUUAAUUGAUGGGGUUAGCGCAAGCGAAGCUCUUGAUCGAAGCCCCGGUAAACGGCGGCCGUAACUAUAACGGUCCUAAGGUAGCGAAAUUCCUUGUCGGGUAAGUUCCGACCUGCACGAAUGGCGUAAUGAUGGCCAGGCUGUCUCCACCCGAGACUCAGUGAAAUUGAACUCGCUGUGAAGAUGCAGUGUACCCGCGGCAAGACGGAAAGACCCCGUGAACCUUUACUAUAGCUUGACACUGAACAUUGAGCCUUGAUGUGUAGGAUAGGUGGGAGGCUUUGAAGUGUGGACGCCAGUCUGCAUGGAGCCGACCUUGAAAUACCACCCUUUAAUGUUUGAUGUUCUAACGUUGACCCGUAAUCCGGGUUGCGGACAGUGUCUGGUGGGUAGUUUGACUGGGGCGGUCUCCUCCUAAAGAGUAACGGAGGAGCACGAAGGUUGGCUAAUCCUGGUCGGACAUCAGGAGGUUAGUGCAAUGGCAUAAGCCAGCUUGACUGCGAGCGUGACGGCGCGAGCAGGUGCGAAAGCAGGUCAUAGUGAUCCGGUGGUUCUGAAUGGAAGGGCCAUCGCUCAACGGAUAAAAGGUACUCCGGGGAUAACAGGCUGAUACCGCCCAAGAGUUCAUAUCGACGGCGGUGUUUGGCACCUCGAUGUCGGCUCAUCACAUCCUGGGGCUGAAGUAGGUCCCAAGGGUAUGGCUGUUCGCCAUUUAAAGUGGUACGCGAGCUGGGUUUAGAACGUCGUGAGACAGUUCGGUCCCUAUCUGCCGUGGGCGCUGGAGAACUGAGGGGGGCUGCUCCUAGUACGAGAGGACCGGAGUGGACGCAUCACUGGUGUUCGGGUUGUCAUGCCAAUGGCACUGCCCGGUAGCUAAAUGCGGAAGAGAUAAGUGCUGAAAGCAUCUAAGCACGAAACUUGCCCCGAGAUGAGUUCUCCCUGACUCCUUGAGAGUCCUGAAGGAACGUUGAAGACGACGACGUUGAUAGGCCGGGUGUGUAAGCGCAGCGAUGCGUUGAGCUAACCGGUACUAAUGAACCGUGAGGCUUAACCUU